AACGCGAAGAACCUUACCAGGCCUUGACAUGYUAGGGAACCCGGGUGAAAGCCUGGGGUGCCCCGCGAGGGGAGCCCUAGCACAGGUGCUGCAUGGCSGUSGUCAGCUCGUGCCGUGAGGUGUUGGGUUAAGUCCCGCAACGAGCGCAACCCCCGCCGUUAGUUGCCAGCGGUUCGGCCGGGCACUCUAACGGGACUGCCCGCGAAAGCGGGAGGAAGGAGGGGACGACGUCUGGUCAGCAUGGCCCUUACGGCCUGGGCGACACACGUGCUACAAUGCCCACUACAAAGCGAGGCCACCCGGCAACGGGGAGCUAAUCGCAAAAAGGUGGGCCCAGUUCGGAUUGGGGUCUGCAACCCGAC
rnacentral:rRNA from 1 species